rnacentral:rRNA from 1 species
ACGCAUCGUGACCCCA